AGGGCGCAAGGGGAAUGCCUUGGCACUGAGAGCCGACGAAGGACGCGACAAGCUGCGAUAAGCUACGGGGAGCCGCAAAUGGGCUUUGAUCCGUGGAUUUCCGAAUGGGGAAACCCGGCAGAGCAAUACUCUGUCAACGUACACUGAAUACAUAGGUGUGCGUGGGGAACCGCCUGAACUGAAACAUCUAAGUAGGGCGAGGAAGAGAAAUCAACCGAGAUUCCGCUAGUAGUGGCGAGCGAACGCGGAAGAGGCCAAACCGGAGGUAGCAAUAUUUCCGGGGUUAGGACUGCAAUAUGUAACUUUAAUCUUUAACUGAAUGCUUUGGGAAGAGCAGCAAUAUAGGGUGAUAGCCCCGUAAGUGAAAAGAAUCGAGCGCUAACAGUAUCCAGAGUACCAGCGGACACGUGAAACCCGCUGGGAAGAUGGGGGGACCAUCCUCCAAGCCUAAAUACUACUCAGUGACCGAUAGUGGAGCAGUACCGUGAGGGAAAGGUGAAAAGUACCCCGGGAGGGGAGUGAAAAAGAACCUGAAACCUUGUGCCUACAAGCACCGAGAGUCCGUUAAUGGAUGAUCGGGUACUUUUUGUAGAACGGUCCGGCGAGUUAAUAUUUGCAGCGAGGUUAAGGAACUGGAGUUCCGGAGCCGCAGCGAGAGCGAGUCUGAAAAGGGCGUAUGAAGUUGCAGGUAUUAGACCCGAAACCGGGUGACCUAUCCAUGAGCAGGCUGAAGCGGUGGUAAGACACCGUGGAGGGCCGCACCCACGUCUGUUGAAAAAGCCGGGGAUGACUUGUGGAUAGCGGAGAAAUUCCAAUCGAACUCGGAGAUAGCUGGUUCUCCCCGAAAUAGCUUUAGGGCUAGCCUCAUAUUAGAUACCCGGAGGUAAAGCACUGAAUGGCCUAGCGCCCGAGAGGGUAGCGAAGCCUAUCAAACUAAGAAUGCCGGAGUAUUGAUGUAUGGGAGUCAGACAGUGUGAGAUAAAUCUCAUUGUCAAAAGGGAAACAGCCCAGAUCUACAGCUAAGGUCCCAAAUUGUAUCUAAGUGGAAAACGAUGUGGAAAUACGCAGACAACCAGGAUGUUGGCUCAGAAGCAGCCACUCAUUUAAAGAGUGCGUAAUAGCUCACUGGUCGAGCGUCUCUGCGCGGAAAAUUUAACGGGGCUAAGAUACAAACCGAAGCUUAGGCUGCACGUAAGUGCGGGGUAGGGGAGCGUUGUGUAAGCGGAGAAACAGUAGCGUAAGCGGCUGUGGAGUUUACAGAAGUGAGAAUGCCGGAAUGAGUAGCGCGAAUGUGGUGAGAAUCCACAUGGCCGGAAACCUCAGGUUUUUGGAGGAAGGUUCGUCCGCUCCAAGUUAGGCGGGAGCUAAGGUCAGGCCGAAAGGCGUAGCCGAUGCACAGACGGUAGAGAUUCCGUCCCCACCGAAAGAUUUAAGCACAGGGACACUUUUUGAAGGUCGGAGCCAGGUGUUGGUUCUGGUAGUGAUCGAGGGAAAUAUAGUACCGAAGUCCGGCUGGAGGAGAGGCGAGAAAAGCUGUGUGUAUAUCUAAGGUGCCCGUACCGCAAACCGACACAGGUAGGUAGGAAGAAGAUUCUAAGGCCAACGGGAGAAGGGUUGUUAAGGAACUCGGCAAAUUGACCCCGUAACUUCGGGAGAAGGGGUGCUCCAGAGAUGGAGCCGCAGAGAAUCGGCCCAAGCAACUGUUUACCAAAAACACAGGUUUGUGCUAAAUCGAAAGAUGACGUAUACGAGCUGACGCCUGCCCGGUGCUGGAAGGUUAAGAGGAGAUGUGCAAGCAUUGAAUCGAAGCCCCAGUGAACGGCGGCCGUAACUAUAACGGUCCUAAGGUAGCGAAAUUCCUUGUCAGGUAAGUUCUGACCCGCAUGAAAGGCGUAAUGAUUUGGGCACUGUCUCAACAGCCCGCCCGGCGAAAUUGUAGUACCGGUGAAGAUGCCGGUUACCCGCGACAAGACGGAAAGACCCCAUGGAGCUUUACUGUAGCCUAAUAUUGGGUUUCGAUGUUGCAUGCA
rnacentral:rRNA from 1 species